rnacentral:rRNA from 1 species
GAUGAACGCUGGCGGCGUGCCUAAUACAUGCAAGUCGAGCGAACAGACGAGGAGCUUGCUCCUCUGACGUUAGCGGCGGACGGGUGAGUAACACGUGGAUAACCUACCUAUAAGACUGGGAUAACUUCGGGAAACCGGAGCUAAUACCGGAUAAUAUAUUGAACCGCCUGGUUCAAUAGUGAAAGACGGUUUUGCUGUCACUUAUAGAUGGAUCCGCGCCGCAUUAGCUAGUUGGUAAGGUAACGGCUUACCAAUGCGACGAUGCGUAGCCGACCUGAGAGGGUGAUCGGCCACACUGGAACUGAGACACGGUCCAGACUCCUACGGGAGGCAGCAGUAGGGAAUCUUCCGCAAUGGGCGAAAGCCUGACGGAGCAACGCCGCGUGAGUGAUGAAGGUCUUCGGAUCGUAAAACUCUGUUAUUAGGGAAGAACAAAUGUGUAAGUAACUAUGCACGUCUUGACGGUACCUAAUCAGAAAGCCACGGCUAACUACGUG